rnacentral:rRNA from 1 species
ACGCACGCUGGCGGCGUGCUUAACCCCUGCACGUCGAACGGAAAGGCCCUGCUUUUGUGGGGUGCUCGAGUGGCGAACGGGUGAGUAACACGUGAGUAACCUGCCCUUGACUUUGGGAUAACUUCAGGAAACUGGGGCUAAUACCGGAUAGGAGCUCCUGCUGCAUGGUGGGGGUUGGAAAGUUUCGGCGGUUGGGGAUGGACUCGCGGCUUAUCAGCUUGUUGGUGGGGUAGUGGCUUACCAAGGCUUUGACGGGUAGCCGGCCUGAGAGGGUGACCGGCCACAUUGGGACUGAGAUACGGCCCAGACUUCUACGGGAGGCAGCAGUGGGGAAUAUUGCACAAUGGGCGGAAGCCUGAUGCAGCAACGCCGCGUGCGGGAUGACGGCCUUCGGGUUGUAAACCGCUUUCGCCUGUGACGAAGCGUGAGUGACGGUAAUGGGUAAAGAAGCACCGGCUAACUACGUG